UACGAAGGGGGCUAGCGUUGUUCGGAAUUACUGGGCGUAAAGCGCGCGUAGGCGGCUAUUCAAGUCAGAGGUGAAAGCCCGGGGCUCAACCCCGGAACUGCCUUUGAAACUAGGUAGCUAGAAUCUUGGAGAGGCGAGUGGAAUUCCGAGUGUAGAGGUGAAAUUCGUAGAUAUUCGCAAGAACACCAGUGGCGAAGGCGGCUCACUGGCCCGGUACUGACGCUGAGGCACGAAAGCGUGGGGAGCAAACAGG
rnacentral:rRNA from 1 species